rnacentral:rRNA from 1 species
AUACGUAGGUGGCAAGCGUUAUCCGGAAUUAUUGGGCGUAAAGCGCACGCAGGCGGUUUGUUAAGUCAGAUGUGAAAUCCCCGGGCUCAACCUGGGAACUGCAUCUGAUACUGGCAAGCUUGAGUCUCGUAGAGGGGGGUAGAAUUCCAGGUGUAGCGGUGAAAUGCGUAGAGAUCUGGAGGAAUACCGGUGGCGAAGGCGGCCCCCUGGACGAAGACGGACGCUCAGGUGCGAAAGCGUGGGGAGAAACCAGGAUUAGGUACCCGGGUUGUCCACGCCGUAAACGAUGUCGACUUGGAGGUUGUGCCCUUGAGGCGUGGAUUCCGGAGCUAACGCGUUAAGUCGACCGCCUGGGGAGUACGGCCGCAAGGUUAAUACUCAAAUGAAUUGACGGGG